rnacentral:rRNA from 1 species
AUCCGGAGGGUGCAAGCGUUGUUCGGAAUCAUUGGGCGUAAAGCGGGUGUCGGCGGCUUGGCAAGUCGGGUGUGAAAUCCCUGGGCUCAACCCAGGAACUGCACUCGAAACUGUCUCGCUAGAGUCUCGGAGAGGGUGGCGGAAUUCCCGGUGUAGAGGUGAAAUUCGUAGAUAUCGGGAGGAACACCAGUGGCGAAGGCGGCCACCUGGACGAUGACUGACGCUCAGACCCGAAAGCGUGGGGAGCAAACAGGAUUAGAUACCCCUGUAGUCC